AUACACUAAUCACAUAACUCUCAUACACUAAUCACAUAACUACGCAUACACUAAUAACAUAACUAUUCAAACACUAAUCACAUAUUUAUCAAACAAUAAUCAAUAACUAACAAACACUAAUCAUAAAACUAUACACGCACUAAUCACAUAACUCUCAUACACUAAUCACAUAACUACGCAUACACUAAUAACAUAACUAUUCAAACACUAAUCACAUAUUUAUCAAACAAUAAUCAAUAACUAACAAACACUAAUCA
rnacentral:misc_RNA from 1 species